rnacentral:rRNA from 1 species
GGAUCCAGCUCCAAUAGCGUAUAUUAAAGUUGUUGCAGUUAAAAAGCUCGUAGUUGAAUUUCGGGGUUCUACCGUUGGUCGGGCAAUAGUCUGUACUGGCGUGUAGAAUUUCUACCUUCUGGGGAACCAUCAUGUUAUUUAUUUAGCGUGGUGGGAAACCAGGACCUUUACCUUGAAAAAAUUAGAGUGUUCAAAGCAGGCUUACGUCUGAAUACAUUAGCAUGGAAUAAUAAAAUAGGACGGUGGUCCUGUUUUGUUGGUUUCUGAAUCACCGUAAUGAUUAAUAGGGAUAGUUGGGGGCAUUAGUAUUCAAUUGUCAGAGGUGAAAUUCUUGGAUUUAUUGAAGACUAACUUCUGCGAAAGCAUUUGCCAAGGAUGUUUUCAUUAAUCAAGAACGAAAGUUAGGGGAUCGAAGACGAUCAGAUACCGUCGUAGUCUUAACCAUAAACUAUGCCGACUAGGGAUCGGACGAUGUUAAUUGC